GAAAGCAUGCGACUCUUCGGAGGCGUUACACAGGUGCUGCAUGGCCGUCGUCAGCUCGUGUCGUGAGAUGUUUGGUUAAGUCCAGCAACGAGCGCAACCCCUGUUGCCAGUUACCAGCACGUGAAGGUGGGGACUCUGGCGAGACUGCCCAGAUCAACUGGGAGGAAGGUGGGGACGACGUCAGGUCAGUAUGGCCCUUAUGCCCAGGGCUGCACACGUACUACAAUGCCCAGUACAGAGGGGGCCGAAGCCGCGAGGCGGAGGAAAUCCUAAAAACUGGGCCCAGUUCGGACUGUAGGCUGCAACCCGCCUACACGAAGCCGGAAUCGCUAGUAAUGGCGCAUCAGCUACGGCGCCGUGAAUACGUUCCCGGGUCUUGUACACACCGCCCGUCACAUCAUGGAAGCCGGUCGCACCCGAAGUAUCUGAAGCCAACCGCAGGGAGGCAGGGUCCUAAGGUGAGACUGGUAACUGGGAUGAAGUCGUAACAAGGUAGCCGUAGGGGAAC
rnacentral:rRNA from 1 species